rnacentral:rRNA from 1 species
UAAUGUUAUAUUUGUCUAUUUAUUGGUAUUACAUAUCAUUUAAAGAAAAUUUUAUAGUAAUAAAUUAUAGAAUUAAAAGGUAGAAGAAUUUAUUAUUUUUAUUGUUUCAUAAUAAAAAUUAUAAUUUUUAGGGUUGAAAAGUCGACUUUUAAGAUAUCUGUGUAAUUUUGAAAAUUAGAAAUUUAUUUUUUUGUGUAUAAAUUUUAUAAAAAGUAAAAGUUGAAGUAUUUAUUAUUUUAGUUUUAUAACAGUUUAUUAUAUAUUAAUUUUGGUUACUUUAAGUUAUGUGAUAAAUUUUUAUCAUAUAUAUUAUUUUAAAAUUAGUAAUUUGAAUUAAAUUUGUUGUUAAUUUUUAAUAUAAUUAAAAAACUCAGAAAUUAAUCAAAUGUUUAUUAAAGACUUAGACUUUUAUAUAAAGUUUGCUUCUGCCCAAUGAAAAUAAUUAAAUGGCAGUCUUAGCGUGAGGACAUUAAGGUAGCAAAAUAAUUUGUGCUUUUAUUGAGUUCCAGUAUGAAUGAAGUUAUUGGUUAAUUUAUUUUUUAAUUUUAUUAAUGAAGUUUUAAUUAGUAAUAAAAAAAUAUUGUUAUAAUAAAACAAAGAUAAGUCUUCGGAAAUUCUUUUUUAAAAUAAUAUGAUUAUUAUUUUAAAAAUUUUCUAGGGCAGAAUAUUAUAUAAUUAUUAUAUCUAUUAAUAAUUUAAAGAAUUACUCCGGAGUUAACAGGAAAUCAUAUCUAAUCUAGUUCUUAUAGUAAGAUAAGUUUUACAUCGAUGUUGUAUUUAAGUUUAUUAAAAAAGGAGAAGAUUUAAUUUUUAAGACUGUUCUUCUUUUAAUUAAUUUAACGUGAUAUUAGUUUAAUUCAUUGUGAGAUAGAAUUGUUUAUCUUGUUUAUUAUUUUUUAAGAGUUUUAAUAGUACGAAAGGGAAAUUAAAAAAAGUUUUAAACUUUAUAAGGUUUAUCCUUA